rnacentral:rRNA from 1 species
ACUGAACGCUGGCGGCAUGCCUUACACAUGCAAGUCGAACGGCAGCACGGGUGCUUGCACCUGGUGGCGAGUGGCGAACGGGUGAGUAAUAUAUCGGAACGUACCUUAUUGUGGGGGAUAACGCAGCGAAAGCUGUGCUAAUACCGCAUAAUCCCUAAGGGGGAAAGCGGGGGACCGUAAGGCCUCGCGCAAUUAGAGCGGCCGAUACCUGAUUAGCUAGGUGGUGAGGUAAAGGCUCACCAAGGCAACGAUCAGUAGCUGGUCUGAGAGGACGAUCAGCCACACUGGGACUGAGACACGGCCCAGACUCCUACGGGAGGCAGCAGUGGGGAAUUUUGGACAAUGGGGGCAACCCUGAUCCAGCAAUGCCGCGUGAGUGAAGAAGGCCUUCGGGUUGUAAAGCUCUUUUGUCAGGGAAGAAACAGCAGCUCUAACACAGUUUGCGAAUGACGGUACCUGAAGAAUAAGCACCGGCUAACUACGUGCCAGCCGCCGCGGUAA